GACGAACGCUGGCGGCGUGCUUAACACAUGCAAGUCGAACGAGAAUCUACUGAAAGAGUUUUCGGACAAUGGAUGUAGAGGAAAGUGGCGGACGGGUGAGUAACGCGUGAGGAACCUGCCUUGAAGAGGGGGACAACAGUUGGAAACGACUGCUAAUACCGCAUGAUGCAUAGGGAUCGCAUGAUUCUUAUGCCAAAGAUUUANCGCUUCAAGAUGGCCUCGCGUCUGAUUAGCUAGUUGGCGGGGUAACGGCCCACCAAGGCGACGAUCAGUAGCCGGACUGAGAGGUUGAACGGCCACAUUGGGACUGAGAUACGGCCCAGACUCCUACGGGAGGCAGCAGUGGGGAAUAUUGGGCAAUGGGCGCAAGCCUGACCCAGCAACGCCGCGUGAAGGAAGAAGGCCUUCGGGUUGUAAACUUCUUUUAUUAAGGUACGAAGAAAGUGACGGUACUUAAUGAAUAAGCUCCGGCUAACUACGUG
rnacentral:rRNA from 1 species